rnacentral:rRNA from 1 species
AUACGGGGGGUGCAAGCGUUAAUCGGAAUUACUGGGCGUAAAGCGCGCGUAGGCGGUUUGCUCAGUCGGAUGUGAAAGCCCAGGGCUCAACCUUGGAACUGCAUACGAUACUGGCAAACUAGAGUGUGAGAGAGGAUAGUGGAAUUUCCGGUGUAGCGGUGAAAUGCGUAGAUAUCGGAAGGAACAUCAGUGGCGAAGGCGACUGUCUGGCUCAACACUGACGCUGAGGUGCGAAAGCGUGGGUAGCAAACAGGAUUAGAACCCCUAGUAGUCC